rnacentral:miRNA from 1 species
UAACCUGAGGUACCACUGUGUAUAUGUGUGUGUGUGUACACACACACACACACACACACACACACACACAGUGGUACCUCGGGAUG